rnacentral:rRNA from 1 species
CCUACGGGAUGCAGCAGUGGGGAAUAUUGCACAAUGGGGGAAACCCUGAUGCAGCGACGCCGCGUGAGUGAAGAAGUAUUUCGGUAUGUAAAGCUCUAUCAGCAGGGAAGAAAAUGACGGUACCUGACUAAGAAGCCCCGGCUAACUACGUGCCAGCAGCCGCGGUAAUACGUAGGGGGCAAGCGUUAUCCGGAUUUACUGGGUGUAAAGGGAGCGUAGACGGGUAAUCAAGUCAGAAGUGAAACCCCAGGGCUCAACUUUGGGACUGCUUUUGAAACUGAGUAGCUGGAGUGCAGGAGAGGUAAGCGGAAUUCCUGGUGUAGCGGUGAAAUGCGUAGAUAUGAGGAGGAACACCAGUGGCGAAGGCGGCUUACUGGACUGUAACUGACGUUGAGGCUCGAAAGCGUGGGGAGCAAACAGGAUUAGAUACCCGGGUAGUC